rnacentral:rRNA from 1 species
CAAUAGCGUAUAUUAAAGUUGUUGCAGUUAAAAAGCUCGUAGUUGGAUCUGUGGUGUGCGGUGGGCUCCGGGCACUUGUUGUCUGAGUAGCUCGCCGCUGCCAUCCUUGGGUGGAACCUGUGUGGCAUUAGGUUGUCGUGCAGGGGAUGCCCAUCGUUUACUGUGAAAAAAUUAGAGUGUUCAAAGCAGGCUUAUGCCGUUGAAUAUAUUAGCAUGGAAUAAUGAGAUAGGACUUUUUCGCUAUUUUGUUGGUUUGCGCGAAGAGGUAAUGAUUAAUUGGGACAGUUGGGGGUAUUCGUAUUCCAUUGUCAGAGGUGAAAUUCUUGGAUUUUUGGAAGACGAACUACUGCGAAAGCAUUUACCAAGGAUGUUUUCAUUAA